rnacentral:rRNA from 1 species
CCUACGGGAGGCAGCAGUAGGGAAUCUUCCACAAUGGGCGAAAGCCUGAUGGAGCAACGCCGCGUGAGUGAUGAAGGCCUUCGGGUUGUAAAACUCUGUCAUUCGGGACGAACCGGAGUCUGAGGAAAUGCAGACUCUCUGACGGUACCGGAGGAGGAAGCCCCGGCUAACUACGUGCCAGCAGCCGCGGUAAUACGUAGGGGGCAAGCGUUGUCCGGAUUCACUGGGCGUAAAGCGCGCGCAGGCGGUGAUGUAAGUCUGAGGUGAAAACCCGAAGCUCAACUUCGGGACUGCCUUGGAUACUGCGUCACUUGAGGAUAGGAGAGGCAAGGGGAAUUCCACGUGUAGCGGUGAAAUGCGUAGAGAUGUGGAGGAACACCUGUGGCGAAGGCGCCUUGCUGGCCUAUUUCUGACGCUGAGGCGCGAAAGCGUGGGGAGCAAACAGGAUUAGAUACCCUGGUAGUCCACGCUGUAAACGAUGAGUGCUAGGUGUAGGUGGGCUCAUACCCAUCUGUGCCGAAGCUAACGCAUUAAGCACUCCGCCUUGGGGAGUUACGGUUCGCAGCUUGAACUUCAAGGAUUGACGG